rnacentral:ncRNA from 1 species
AUGACGCAAUGUGAUUUCUGCCCAGUGCUCUGAAUGUCAAAGUGAAGAAAUUCAACCAAGCGCGAGUAAAUGGCGGGAGUAACUAUGACUCUCUUGUACCAAUGAUUUUGUCAACCCUACAGUAUACAUAUAAUGCAUGUGACUUCCUUUUCAUGAAAUGAAAAAUCUGUUAGUUACAGAUUCAUCACAGUGUCUGACUUUUAGGAAUUCUAUGGUAUUUUUUUCACUUUCCUUGUGAGUCUGAGAUUUGUACAUCUUCUCAGUCGGACUGGAUUUUAUUGUUGUCUGAUAUGCAAAAGAAUGGAUAAAUGACUUGUCUUCCG